rnacentral:tRNA from 1 species
AGUCUUAUAUUCAUAUAAUGAUUAUAGAAUGCAAUUCUAUAGGAGUAGUAAUAAAGUUGCUAUUAAGGCUU